rnacentral:rRNA from 1 species
UGGGGAAUAUUGCACAAUGGGGGAAACCCUGAUGCAGCGACGCCACGUGAAGGAUGAAGGUUUUCGGAUCGUAAACUUUUGUCUUGGGGGACGAAAACUGACGGUACCCCAGGAGGAAGCCACGGCUAACUACGUGCCAGCAGCCGCGGUAAUACGUAGGUGGCGAGCGUUGUCCGGAUUUACUGGGUGUAAAGGGCGUGUAGGCGGGUUUUUAAGUCGGGUGUGAAAUCUAGGGGCUCAACCCCUAAACUGCAUCCGAAACUAAGAAUCUUGAGUGCUUUAGAGGAUGACGGAAUUCCUAGUGUAGCGGUGAAAUGCGUAGAUAUUAGGAGGAACACCAGUGGCGAAGGCGGUCAUCUGGAAAGUAACUGACGCUGAGGCGCGAAAGCGUGGGGAGCAAACA